UUUUUGAGUUUAAUUUAAAGUAGGGCCUGCCCMCUGAAUUAUUUAAAGGGCCGCAGUAUUUUGACUGUGCAAAGGUAGCAUAAUCAUUAGUUUUUUAAUUGAAAGCUGGAAUGAAUGGUUUGAUGAGAAAAUUUCUGUUUCAAUUUUAAUUUUAUAGAAUUUUAUUUUUAAGUUAAAAAGCUUAAAUUUUUAAAAAAGACGAGAAGACCCUAUAGAGUUUUAUUAAUAAAAAGAAAUAUUUUUAUAGAAUUAUUUUAUUUAUUUUUUUUCUUAAUUUUAUUGGGGUGAUAAAAAAAUUAAAUUAACUUAUUUUUUAUUUAAACAUUAAUAUAUGAAUUUUUGAUCCAAUUAUUUUUGAUUAUAAGAUUAAAUUACCUUAGGGAUAACAGCGUAAUUUUACUUUAAAGUUCUUAUUAAAAGUAAAGAUUGCGACCUCGAUGUUGGAUUAAAAUAAAUUUUUGGUGUAGAAGCUAAAUAAUUAGGUCUGUUCNACCUUUGAAAUUUUAC
rnacentral:rRNA from 1 species